UACCAGCACCCCGAGUGGUCGGGACGAUUAUUGGGCCUAAAGCAUCCGUAGCCGGUUCUACAAGUCCUCCGUUAAAUCCACCUGCUUAACAGAUGGGCCGCGGAGGAUACUAUAAGACUAGGAGGCAGGAGAGGCAAGCGGUACUCAGUGGGUAGGGGUAAAAUCCGUUGAUCCAUUGAAGACCACCAGUGGCGAAGGCGGCUUGCCAGAAUGCGCUCGACGGUGAGGGAUGAAAGCUGGGGGAGCAAACCGG
rnacentral:rRNA from 1 species